UGGUACAGAACCACUAUAGACUUCAGCUGUAAACGUGGCCUUGGGUAGCUGACCUUUGGUUAAACUUCUGGACUAAACCACCCAUGUGAGACUGAAAUAACUGGAACCAGAGCUGGAGCACCGCACUAUGCUAGGUUCCGUUGGCUCCAGCUUCAAUGUACGUGAGAUGGGGAAACUUACUGCUAGUGAACAAGGAUGGAAAUUAGUGUCAGUCUGGAAGAUCCACAGCUUCUGCUACAGGGAAAUGAAUAAUUUUUUUAAAAGCAAGUUAAUGAAAUUAGUUAAAAACGCAAAGGGAAUUUAAAAUGAUAUAUAAUUAAAAUCAUAUACUUAAAUUGAGUCCUAGAGCUUGCGCCUAUAAGCAAAUCAAGUUAAUAUUAAGACAAAAAAUCUGAAUUUUGUAGUGAUUUUUUCUAGGAUAAAUAUGUUAAAAUACUGCAUAGCUAUCACAGACUUGAGACUGUUUGGAGUAAGAAGUGCUCUUGAUCAGUGAGUGUCAGCAUUCUGGCAUUGCUACAAACACCGGCCAAACAAACUCGUAAAUUUUUAGUGGAUUAUUUAAUGUUAGCAGUAAGGAAUUCUGGGCGGUGGAAUGGUAAUAAGUCACUGCAAUUUCAUUAAAAUAACACUCUCAUAGAUUACUUCAGUAAAUCUAAAAGAUCAUCAAGAUGAAUGAAGUAAUUAAAAAAUCCUACAAAGGCUACAUCCCCAGUGAUUCUAGCUAUUGUGCAAGGAAGUGAUGGCUCUUAAAUAAAAACAUGCGUAAGUUGAAGGAUUCAGCUUACAGUGGAAUAUUGCUCUUUAUUCCAAUUCCUAUCCCAGGUGUAGUAAUUUCAGGGUUUAUCAGUUUAAUGUGAUUUCAUUGUUUUCUUUUGCAAUUAUCAGCAACUCUUAUAAACUUAAUAUUUGUCAUUAUUUAAGACUGAAAAAGUGGUAGUAGAAUAUAAUAAAGUUGGAAAUAAAAUCUUAACAAUAACAUCUGAGCUCAUAUCUGAAUUGAUUGCAUUAAUAACAGUAGCGGUUGAUACUUUUAUAUUUGGAUGGUUUUUCAAUAUUGUAACCGAAAUAGAACAAGUGCAGUUCAAUAUUUUGUGAACUCUAAUAAGGAAAUACAUGAAUAUAAUAUUUGUGCUGUAGCAAUCGUGAUUCAGAUUAUAUUACUUUACUGCCUUGUCCUACAUCUGCCUG